UACGAAGGGGGCUAGCGUUGCUCGGAAUCGCUGGGCGUAAAGGGUGCGUAGGCGGGUCUUUAAGUCAGGGGUGAAAUCCUGGAGCUCAACUCCAGAACUGCCUUUGAUACUGAAGAUCUUGAGUUCGGGAGAGGUGAGUGGAACUGCGAGUGUAGAGGUGAAAUUCGUAGAUAUUCGCAAGAACACCAGUGGCGAAGGCGGCUCACUGGCCCGAUACUGACGCUGAUGCACGAAAGCGUGGGGAGCAAACAGG
rnacentral:rRNA from 1 species